rnacentral:misc_RNA from 1 species
GCAAACUUGGUCAUUUAGAGGAAGUAAAAGUCGUAACAAGGUUUCCGUAGGUGAACCUGCGGAAGGAUCAUUACAGUAUUCUUUUGCCAGCGCUUAACUGCGCGGCGAAAAACCUUACACACAAUGUCUUUUUUAUUAAGGAACUAUUGCUUUGGUCUGGCCUAGAAAUAGGUUGGGCCAGAGGUUAUUCAAAACACAAUUUAACAUUAUUUAAGAACAAGUCAAUCUAUUUUGAAAAAAAUUCAAAACUUUCAACAACGGAUCUCUUGGUUCUCGCAUCGAUGAAGAACGCAGC